CUAAAGAGUCCAGAGUUCAAAACACCAUUCAUUCUCGCAUCCCUUUGAGGAGUUACCUCACUGAAGAGAUGAAGUACCUAAAGCACAAAUUGAUGAAGAAACUGCCGGAAGUCUAACACCGGAUAUGCUUUGUCAUCCCUGAUCUCUGGAGAGAUGAAUCACCAGGAACAUGCCAGAACUGGAAGGAAGGGAGAGAAAGAGAUCCGCAGAAACCAGGGAAAAGAUGUGGCUUCAUUUCAUCACAAAUAGCUUUUGGUUACAAAUUCUGAAGGAUCCAGAGCUUCUAAAAAACUGGUACAUUGCACAAGCAUUCUGCAGUAGCUAUCAUAGGUCACUUGCUUCCCUCGAAGAUGAAUUGCAGCAAGCUUUCAUAAUAAUUAAUCUAUUUGGACAGAAAAUCAGUGUUUGGAUGGUUUUCAGAGCAACAAUUAUGAAAAAUAGGUGAAUUAAAAUCCUCCAAUGUACUCCAACUGGUCUCCAGUUGAAGUAGUGCAUGAAAACGGUACUUUAAAAAAGUCAGAAAAAUUUUGUGUUUGUCUGCCGGAAGUCUUAGGGAUGCAUCAGCUCAGUGCAGGGGCAGGCAAACAGCAGACCUGUGCAUGGGAAUAUGCAGCUGGAAGAGCAGAGAAGCAAGCAAGGAAGAAGUGAGAUGGCCUCUUGCUGGCAGUAGUGAACUGCUAGAUUUGCUCAAAGGUCCAAACAAAUGUGUCAGUUCCUGGAAAGAUGAGCUGGUGCUUUGCUUCUGCCAUCCUGUCUGCAUCCCAUUUCCCCUUUUUUAAAUUAUUUUCUGCAGGAAACUAAAAUAGAAUAAACCAGUGGGAGAUCUGAACUGGGCUCUGAUGUAUUAGUGAUGCUUGAGUUAGGAUUGUGUCAACAUUUUGCUGCAUUUCCUGCCUUUUCAUUUUUUUAAGCAGUGACAUGCACUGUGAAAGCUGGAACAAAAUGAAGUGCUUCAGUUAGCUCAAGAGCAGAACUGUCUCUUGCUUUAAAACUUCUUAUUUUAGACUAUUUGUGAAUGACAAAUAAUAAAUUAACUAUUUUAAGAUACUUGUUAACACUCCUCUUCUCUUAGUCAUAAGGGGAAUCAAAUAUAAACCACUCCACUUCAUAGCAAAGCACCCACUUCAGUUUGUAAUCACAGAGAAUUUUUACACAUGGAAGUCCAAGCAGUCAAACAGGGCUAAAACUGAGGCAUUGCUUUACUUUGACAGUCUUGCUUAAAGUAUACUAUGGACAUUCAUACACAUUAGCAAAAGCAUUUGCCUCCUGUAGGCAAGUGAGAACAGCAACAGCAAUCAGAGACUGGGCUGGGGUGGAGAUGGUCUCUUUCCUCUGUUUUUUUUCUCAUGAGAGACUCUAUUUCUU